AAGUCGUAACAAGGUUUCCGUAGGUGAACCUGCGGAAGGAUCAUUAUUGAUUGACCGAAAGGUCUUGAUUAACAUCCCUCACCUCUGUGAACCGUCUGACCUCCGGGUCUGGAUAACAAACAUCAGUGUAAAGAACGUCUAGUUAUUUUAACAAAAACAUAACUUUCAACAACGGAUCUCUUGGCUCUC
rnacentral:misc_RNA from 1 species